rnacentral:rRNA from 1 species
GGAGUUUGGGCCGUGUCUCAGUCCCAAUGUGGCCGAUCACCCUCUCAGGUCGGCUACCGAUCGUCGACUUGGUGGGCCGUUACCUCACCAACUAUCUAAUCGGACGCGAGCCCACCCCUUACCGGAUUGCUCCUUUGACCCCUGGACGAUGUCAUCCUGUGGUCUUAUGCGGUAUUAGUACAACUUUCGCUGUGUUAUCCCCCUGUAAGGGACAGGUUGCUCACGCGUUACUCACCCGUCCGCCGCUAGAACAUUACAUCUUCCUAUCCAUCCGAAAACUUCAAUUCUGUCGCAAUGUCCCCGCUCGACUUGCAUGUGUUAAGCCUGUAGCUAGCGUUCAUC